UCAAGCAACCUCAAAUCCACAACAAAUUCGCAACAAACCACAUAAUCAUUGACCAAUAAGAGUUGAUAUAGUAACAUAAUGAAAAACCUAAGCCACAAUUUUUUCUCUAAGACCACUGGCUUUCCCCGCCAGUGCUGUGUGAAUGCUCUUUCUCUUUCAAGUAGUUUUCGGCUUUCCCCUCGUCAAUGUUUCCGUAGUUUCAGGUGGUGGUUUUGUAAGAGCUUUAUCAUUGAGGCGAAAGUGGAGGCUGAAUCAACAUUGUUUCAAAGUCGGUCUCCGUUCCUAGUAUCUUCAACUGGUUACAUGUGUCCUCUUGUCCCAGUUAGCUAGAAGACUUCAUCUUUGGUUUGAGGGAAUCAAAGUCUCGGUUGUCUCACAAUGUGAGGCUCUUCGCAUUGAUUCGGGAAAUCUCAAAGAGAGGUCAAUGAAUUUCUUUCAAAGUCCAAUCCAUAUCUGAAGGGUGGAGGUGGUUAGGAGAUGCUUUGGC